AAAAACUCAGACACCCU
rnacentral:miRNA from 1 species